rnacentral:rRNA from 1 species
GACGAACGCUGGCGGCGUGCCUAAUACAUGCAAGUAGAACGCUGAAGGAGGAGCUUGCUUCUCUGGAUGAGUUGCGAACGGGUGAGUAACGCGUAGGUAACCUGCCUGGUAGUGGGGGAUAACUAUUGGAAACGAUAGCUAAUACCGCAUAAUAGCAGUUGUUGCAUGAUAACUGUUUGAAAGGUGCAAUUGCACCGCUACCAGAUGGACCUGCGUUGUAUUAGCUAGUUGGUGGGGUAACGGCUCACCAAGGCGACGAUACAUAGCCGACCUGAGAGGGUGAUAGGACACACUGGGACUGAGACACGGCCCAGACUCCUACGGGAGGCAGCAGUAGGGAAUCUUCGGCAAUGGCCGGAAGUCUGACCGAGCAACGCUGCGUGAGAGAAGAAUGUUGUCGGACCGUAAAGCUCUGUUGUAAGUGAAGAACGAGUGUGAGAGUGGAAAGUUCACACUGUGACGGUAUCUGACCAGAAAGGGACGGCUAACUACGUG